CCUACGGGAGGCAGCAGUGGGGAAUAUUGCACAAUGGGGGAAACCCUGAUGCAGCAACGCCGCGUGAAGGAAGACGGUUUUCGGAUUGUAAACUUCUGUUCUUAGUGAAGAAUAAUGACGGUAGCUAAGGAGCAAGCCACGGCUAACUACGUGCCAGCAGCCGCGGUAAUACGUAGGUGGCAAGCGUUGUCCGGAAUUACUGGGUGUAAAGGGAGCGCAGGCGGGAUGCCAAGUCAGCUGUGAAAACUACGGGCUUAACUUGUAGACUGCAGUUGAAACUGGUUUUCUUGAGUGAAGUAGAGGUAGGCGGAAUUCGGGGUGUAGCGGUGAAAUGCGUAGAUAUUCGGAGGAACACCGGUGGCGAAGGCGGCCAACUGGGCUUUAACUGACGCUGAGGCUCGAAAGUGUGGGGAGCGAACAGGAUUAGAUACCCGGGUAGUC
rnacentral:rRNA from 1 species